AUUUGCCAAAAGCAUCAUUCGAUCAAUCGGGUUAUUCUUACCAUAGUUAGUAUGAUGUAAAUGAAUAACAAAAGGAUAACGUGAUCUCGAAAGACGUGGAGGCACUCUAAAAUUAACUUGGGAGAUUAAAGAGGGAGCAUCAAUAUGACCAUGAAUUAAUUUGCUCAGAAAUACUAAAUUCGCUGUCACACGUCUAUCUACCAAAGAAU